CCUACGGGUGGCUGCAGUGGGGAAUAUUGGACAAUGGGGGCAACCCUGAUCCAGCCAUGCCGUGUGUGUGAAGAAGGCCCUCGGGUUGUAAAGCACUUUCAGUGAGGAAGAACGCCUGGUGGUUAAUACCCAUCAGGAAAGACAUCACUCACAGAAGAAGCACCGGCUAACUCCGUGCCAGCAGCCGCGGUAAUACGGAGGGUGCGAGCGUUAAUCGGAAUUACUGGGCGUAAAGCGCGCGUAGGUGGCUUGAUAAGCCGGUUGUGAAAGCCCCGGGCUCAACCUGGGAACGGCAUCCGGAACUGUCAAGCUAGAGUGCAGGAGAGGAAGGUAGAAUUCCCGGUGUAGCGGUGAAAUGCGUAGAGAUCGGGAGGAAUACCAGUGGCGAAGGCGGCCUUCUGGACUGACACUGACACUGAGGUGCGAAAGCGUGGGUAGCAAACAGGAUUAGAUACCCGAGUAGUC
rnacentral:rRNA from 1 species